GAGAUGGAAAGAAGGGUGGAGAGGGCCCCAUGGCUCCCGUGUACCCCUCGUCAGCACUGGUGAUUCUAGCUGCCUGAUCUUUGCUGCAGAGGUUCGUCUGCCCAGAUUUAAGAAAGACUCCUCUGAUCUUGCACAUAAGGAAACAGUGGGGCAGAGUCGAAUGGUUCCAAGAGCACAGUCAACCAGAUGGGAACAAAUGGAGGCGCAGCUGAACAAUGCGACGUUACCUCCCAGUCCCUCCACUGUCGCUUUGUCGUUCUGACCCACCGCACAUGUGAGAAAGCCCAGCCACGUUCACCAGAGCUGCCCCUCUGCUGUGCAGCUGACCUCAGAUGGAUGAGGGAGCCCAGCAGAGACUAGAGAACUGUCCCGCCCAGCUGU